ACUCCUACGGGAGGCAGCAGUGGGGAAUUUUGGACAAUGGGCGAAAGCCUGAUCCAGCAAUGCCGCGUGAGUGAAGAAGGCCUUCGGGUUGUAAAGCUCUUUUGUCAGGGAAGAAACGGUGAGAGCUAAUAUCUUUUGCUAAUGACGGUACCUGAAGAAUAAGCACCGGCUAACUACGUGCCAGCAGCCGCGGUAAUACGUAGGGUGCAAGCGUUAAUCGGAAUUACUGGGCGUAAAGCGUGCGCAGGCGGUUUUGUAAGUCUGAUGUGAAAUCCCCGGGCUCAACCUGGGAAUUGCAUUGGAGACUGCAAGGCUAGAAUCUGGCAGAGGGGGGUAGAAUUCCACGUGUAGCAGUGAAAUGCGUAGAUAUGUGGAGGAACACCGAUGGCGAAGGCAGCCCCCUGGGUCAAGAUUGACGCUCAUGCACGAAAGCGUGGGGAGCAAACAGGAUUAGAAACCCGUGUAGUCCCAUG
rnacentral:rRNA from 1 species